UAGGGAAUCUUCGGCAAUGGGGGGAACCCUGACCGAGCAACGCCGCGUGAGUGAAGAAGGUUUUCGGAUCGUAAAGCUCUGUUGUUAAGGAAGAACGAGUGUGAGAAUGGAAAGUUCAUGCUGUGACGGUACUUAACCAGAAAGGGACGGCUAACUACGUGCCAGCAGCCGCGGUAAUACGUAGGUCCCGAGCGUUGUCCGGAUUUAUUGGGCGUAAAGCGAGCGCAGGCGGUUAGAAAAGUCUGAAGUGAAAGGCAGUGGCUCAACCAUUGUAGGCUUUGGAAACUGUUUAACUUGAGUGCAGAAGGGGAGAGUGGAAUUCCAUGUGUAGCGGUGAAAUGCGUAGAUAUUAGGAGGAAUACCUGUGGCGAAGGCGACUUACUGGACACAAAUCUGACGCUGAGGAACGAAAGCGUGGGUAGCAAACAGG
rnacentral:rRNA from 1 species